rnacentral:lncRNA from 10 species
AAGAGGAGGUGGUGGCGGGGCUGCGAGGCUCCUGGCAGCCUCGGGGGCUGGGGCUAGGAGAGGCAGCCGCAGCCUUUUGGAGAGGAGCAGGCGCGGCAGCAAGGGGCGAGCACCCCGGCCCCGGUGCGCGCGGCACUGACUGAGCUGGUCCGGGAGGCGCGGAGGAUGCUCACCCAGCGCUUGGAGUGAAUUACUGACCUGUCUGCCCUUCGAUUACCGGCUGGCCAGGGAAGGGGAAGCUGUGGUCUGCCCUGCUCCACGAGGCGCCACUGGUGUGAACCGGGAGAGCCCCUGGGUGGUCCCGUCCCCUAUCCCUCCUUUAUAUAGAAACCUUCCACACUGGGAAGGCAGCGGCGAGGCAGGAGGGCUCAUGGUGAGCAAGGAGGCCGGCUGAUCUGCAGGCGCACAGCAUUCCGAGGUAGGUCACUCAGAAGAGCCCGUGGACUGCCCUGGGAAAGACCAGGGGGGACUGCUCUGGGGGUUCUGCUCCCUCAUGUCCACUCUUAGGGCCCAAGACCCAGUCUACUCUAGCCUAGAGUGCAAGUUAAGAAAUGUCAGAGUCACACGACUGUUUUCAUGUCAUCUGUGGGAGCACACUUUAUCCCUUCUGUCUGAGUCUAGGAUAGGGGAUUACUAAUGGUGGCACUUUUAGGCUUGGUGUAGUCAUACAUGCGAGUGCUGGCCGUGUCCUGCUUGGAACCCUUAAUGAGUCCCUAUCACCAACACUAGCAUGGCGGUGGAGGCCCUUGGCCACCCAGGCCUCCCGCCCUGUUGACCCUUCCUUAAACACACGUCCCUCUCCUCUAGCCCCACCCCUACCUUUUGAUCACACUCUACCUCUGCCUGGAGGGCUGUUUCUCCCACUCCGUCCACUUGGAGAACUCCCGCUCAGUCUUCAAGGCCAACUCAAGGCUCUGGGCAGGAGUCAGAAGACCCACAUUUUACUCUUGGCCUUGGCUUUAACACACUAAUUUGCAAACUGGGGGAGUCAGAGCAGAUCAUACUGCAGAUCUUUAGAUCUUUUCCAACUCUGCCUUUCACAAAGUCGUUCAUUCAGCAAACAUUUCCCCAGCACCCCCACUCCAUGCUUGGGGAGACAGGGGAGGCCCAGCUGAGACUUGAAGGAUAAAGCCAGCCAAGGUUGCUGUGGAAGCACCCAGAAACACCCUAACCCAGCCAAGGGGGCAGGAGAGGCUUCCCUGAGCAGGGGCAUUUCAGCAGGAGCUUUCUAGGGAUGGGCAGCAAUGCCAGCCCUUUGUGCUUGAGCUCCAAAUCUGCAGAAUAGAAAGACGAACAUGUAGUCCCAGGAUUUCUAUUAGAGUCAAUAAGAUGCAGCUGUUUGGGGCCCAGCACAGAGCAGGUGGUCAGUUGAUUUGUACUGACUUUGAGUGGAGAAGGAAGGUAGUGCUGAGGGCUGAGGAUCCGCCUCUUGAUUUGGGGCUCCCUUUCCCUUCCUUCUUCUAGUCCUACCUUAACCUCACACUUUGGGCCUUGAGGUUUGGUUCCCUGGUAGUGGUCAGGGGAGACAGUGGGUCCCACUUACUUUCUCAGUAACAGUAACCCCUGGUAUGUCACACCUAUUUGAUGCCAGCGGUGACAGGCUGAGACUGCUAUUUCAUUUAAUUCUCACAAGUAGCUCCCAACUCCAUUUCUUAGACUAGUUAACAGAGGCUCGGAGCAGUAAAGUGGCUCAUCCAGGCUUACACAGCAGUCAGAAUUGGAACCCAUGCCCUUCUGUCUCUAAAGCUCUCCAUAUGAGAAACACUCACUGCUGGCUGAGCUUCCCCGCUGUCCAGGGGUUUGAGAUGUUCCUCACCAGGUGGACUUGAAACUCCUGGAGACCAGGGAGCUCCCCUGUUCUUCCCCACACACCUCCCACAUGGCUGGGUACACAGAAGGGGCCUUGGGGGGCUUAUCUUGCUCCAUUCUUAGAAGAGCAAGGCUGGGUACAGUGGCUCAUGCCUGUAAUCCCAGCACUUUGGGAGGCCGAGGCAGAAGGCCAGAAGUUCAAGAACAGCCUGGGCAACAUAGUGAGACCCCAUUUCUAAAAAUAAAAAAUUAGCCAGAUGCCAGGUGUGGAGGCACUUCAGCCUCCUGAGUAGCUGAGAC